CCCCGCCCCCCGCGGCCCCCCUUCCCGCCUUCCCGCAGGGCGGUCCGCAGGCGCCGGAGCGCUGCCGCCCGCCCUGAAGCCCCCAGCCCCGGGCUGACACCUGCAGCCUUAGUCGGCUUUGGGAUUUUGAGAUGCGGGGCUCCCUGGAAACUGGGGCCUCGAAACGGGGACACUUGAGAUUAGCUUGGUUGGAGGGACUGACUACUUUAUUAUUUUUUAAGAUUUUAUUCAUUUACUCAUGAGCGACACACAGAGAGAGGCAGAGACACAGGCGGAGGGAGAAGCAGGCUCCAUGCAGGGAGCCCGACGUGGGACUCGAUCCUGGGUCUCCAGGAUCACACCCUGGGCCGAAGAUUCCUUGCUCUAGGGGAAGCAGGCUGACAUGUUGUGAGCUGCUUUAUGGAGAGACCCACUUGGCAAGGAAUAGACAUCUUAAGCUAUUAGCCAACAAGGAUCUGAGGCCUGCCAACAGCCACAUGAGCAAGCUUGAAAGUGAAGCCUCCCACAUCAAACCUCAGGAAGACUCCAGUUCUAUCCAACAUCUUGAUGGCAACCCUAUGGGAGACCAGGAGCUAGAGGCAUCCAGAAAAGAAAAUCAUAGGAACUCUGGUGCUCAUGUAUCCCCUGAUGUGUACUAUAUGCGUUAGGCAAG
rnacentral:lncRNA from 1 species